rnacentral:rRNA from 1 species
GAUGAACGCUGGCGGCGUGCCUAAUACAUGCAAGUCGAACGCUGGAAAUCUAGCUUGCUAGCUUGAAGGAGUGGCGAACGGGUGAGUAAUACAUAAGCAACCUACCCACGAAGACUGGGAUAAUCUCUGGAAACGGGGACUAAUACCGGAUAGGUAAUCGGAAGGCAUCUUCUGAUUAUUAAAGGUUAAAAACACUGGUGGAUGGGCUUAUGGCGCAUUAGUUAGUUGGUGAGGUAACGGCCCACCAAGACGAUGAUGCGUAGCCGGCCUGAGAGGGUGAACGGCCACAUUGGGACUGAGACACGGCCCAGACUCCUACGGGAGGCAGCAGUAGGGAAUUUUCGGCAAUGGGGGAAACCCUGACCGAGCAACGCCGCGUGAGUGAGGACGGCCUUCGGGUUGUAAAGCUCUGUUGUAAGGGAAGAACGGUAGAUAGAGAAUAUCUAAAUGACGGUACCUUACCAGAAAGCCACGGCUAACUACGUG